rfam:Oryza rufipogon genomic scaffold, chr12
UUUAAGUGUAGUUAUAGAUUUCCAUGUCCAACAUUUGACCGUCCGUCUUAUUUGAAUUUUUUUAUUAUUACUUUUAUUAUUAUUAGAUAAUAAAACAUUAAUAGUAUUUGACGCGUAACUUAUUUUUUUAAUUUUUUUCAUAAAUUUUUCAAAUAAGACGGGCGAUCAAACGUUGGACACGGAAAUCCACAACUGCACUUAAA